UAAGGAAUAUUGCUCAAUGGGAGAAAUCCUGAAGCAGCAACGCCGCGUGGAGGAUGAAGGGCCUAUGACUUGUAAACUCCUGUAAAGAAGGAAAAAAUUCCCAUUUGAUGGGAGAUGAUGGUACUUCUGGAGUAAGCCCCGGCUAACUACGUGCCAGCAGCCGCGGUAAUACGUAGGGGGCAAGCGUUGUCCGGAUUUACUGGGUGUAAAGGGUGCUCAGGCGGAUUUGUAAGUCAGAGGUGAAAUCUUACAGCUUAACUGUGAAACUGCCUUUGAUACUGCAAGCCUAGAGUAUGGAAGAGAGUGAUGGAAUAUCUGGUGUAGCAGUGAAAUGCGUAGAUAUCAGAUAGAACACCAAUGGCGAAGGCAGUCACUUGGUCCAUUACUGACGCUAAAGCACGAAAGCGUGGGUAGCAAACA
rnacentral:rRNA from 1 species